UAGGGAAUCUUCGGCAAUGGACGAAAGUCUGACCGAGCAACGCCGCGUGAGUGAAGAAGGUUUUCGGAUCGUAAAACUCUGUUGGUAGAGAAGAACGUUGGUGAGAGUGGAAAGCUCAUCAAGUGACGGUAACUACCCAGAAAGGGACGGCUAACUACGUGCCAGCAGCCGCGGUAAUACGUAGGUCCCGAGCGUUGUCCGGAUUUAUUGGGCGUAAAGCGAGCGCAGGUGGUUUAUUAAGUCUGGUGUAAAAGGCAGUGGCUCAACCAUUGUAUGCAUUGGAAACUGGUAGACUUGAGUGCAGGAGAGGAGAGUGGAAUUCCAUGUGUAACGGUGAAAUGCGUAGAUAUAUGGAGGAACACCGGUGGCGAAAGCGGCUCUCUGGCCUGUAACUGACACUGAGGCUCGAAAGCGUGGGGAGCAAACAGG
rnacentral:rRNA from 1 species